CUAGCAUAUCAAUAAGCGGAGGAAAAGAAACCAACAGGGAUUGCCCUAGUAACGGCGAGUGAAGCGGCAACAGCUCAAAUUUGAAAUCUGGCGUCUUUGGCGUCCGAGUUGUAAUUUGCAGAGGGCGCUUUGGCAUUGGCAGCGGUCCAAGUUCCUUGGAACAGGACGUCACAGAGGGUGAGAAUCCCGUACGUGGUCGCUAGCCUUUACCGUGUAAAGCCCCUUCGACGAGUCGAGUUGUUUGGGAAUGCAGCUCUAAAUGGGAGGUAAAUUUCUUCUAAAGCUAAAUACUGGCCAGAGACCGAUAGCGCACAAGUAGAGUGAUCGAAAGAUGAAAAGCACUUUGGAAAGAGAGUUAAAAAGCACGUGAAAUUGUUGAAAGGGAAGCGCUUGCAGCCAGACUUGCCUGUAGUUGCUCAUCCAGGUUUCUACCUGGUGCACUCUUCUAUAGGCAGGCCAGCAUCAGUUUGGGCGGUUGGAUAAAGGUCUCUGUCAUGUACCUCUCUUCGGGGAGAACUUAUAGGGGAGACGACAUGCAACCAGCCUGGACUGAGGUCCGCGCAUCUGCUAGGAUGCUGGCGUAAUGGCUGUAAGCGGCCCGUCUUGAAACACGGACCAAGGAGUCUAACAUCUAUGCGAGUGUUUGGGUGUCAAGCCCGAGCGCGUAAUGAAAGUGAACGGAGGUGGGAACCUUUCGGGGUGCACCAUCGACCGAUCCUGAUGUCUUCGGAUGGAUUUGAGUAAGAGCAUAGCUGUUGGGACCCGAAAGAUGGUGAACUAUGCUUGAAUAGGGUGAAGCCAGAGGAAACUCUGGUGGAGGCUCGCAGCGGUUCUGACGUGCAAAUCGAUCGUCAAAUUUGGGCAUAGGGGCGAAAGACUAAUCGAACUAUCUAGUAGCUGGUUCCUGCCG
rnacentral:rRNA from 1 species